UCCGGUUCAUCACCGGCAGUCUCCUUAGAGUCCCCACCAUUACAUGUUGGCAACUAAGGAUAAGGGUUGCGCUCGUUACGGGACUUAACCCAACAUCUCACAACACGAGCUGACGACAGCCAUGCAGCACCUGUCUCAACGUUCCUUGCGGCACUCCCGCAUCUCUGCAGGAUUCGUUGGAUGUCAAGGGUAGGUAAGGUUCUUCGCGUUGCAUCGAAUUAAACCACAUGCUCCACCGCUUGUGCGGGCCCCCGUCAAUUCCUUUGAGUUUUAAUCUUGCGACCGUACUCCCCAGGCGGAUAACUUAUCGCGUUAGCUUCGAUACUGAUGGGUCUAAGCCCAACAACAUCUAGUUAUCAUCGUUUACGGCGUGGACUAC
rnacentral:misc_RNA from 1 species